rnacentral:lncRNA from 1 species
GUGCUCUAAAGAUGCCUCCCACGCGUUCCGACCUCUGAACGGCUCGAAACUAACUAAAAACAACUCAAGUACAUCAAACAAUGCUAAAGGAACCAAUCCCGAUCGAAAAAGAUCAAAUCUUGAAUCAAAAGCCCGAAAUCGGCAAAAAGCCCAAUCCGGGCCCGCACCUCAGAACCCGACAAAAUUUAUAAAAUUAAACAACCCAUUCAAUUACGAGUCCAACCAUACUAGUUUUACUGAAAUCCGACUCAGAAAAUUCAUAUUAUGAAACUUUAGGCCAAAACCCCCAAUUUCCUCUUUAAAAUUCAUCAACCAAAAGCUAAAAUCGAAGAUAGAUUCAUAGAAUAUAACCAAAACCGAGUAGAGAACACUUAUCCCAAUUCAUAUGGUGAAAAUUGCUCCAAAUAUCGCCUCAAUCCGAGCUUGAAAAUGUAAAAAUGAAGCCAAAAUUGCAACCCUUGUAUAUAACAUUCUGCCCAGCACAUCCGCAUUUGCGGAAAAUUCGUCGCAUCUACUGUCGCUCCCCUCUUUCUCGCAAAAUCGGGCUUUGACGUUGACCACUCUUUUAAAUGGGGAGGAAGGGUUAUUAAAAGAGAGAGUUUCCACCUAACAGAUUAAAUUGCGUUAGGGCACCUAUUUGCAAAUGACUCAGGUUUACUAGUCUGCGUCACCAAAGAUCGGGUAAGGGCUCAAAUUACCUCGAUUAGAAGGUGUUAGGCACUCCUCGAGGUCCACAAUGGUGGGUCCCAGUUGAACUCAAAUCAUGUGAAUUAAUCUAAGAGAAAAGAAUCAAUUUGGAUAAAUAAAGAACUAUUUUAACAGGAAUGGGGGGAGGGGGUCCUAUGUUUUUUAGCCUAACGGAUCACCCCAUGCAACAUAAAUAAUACUUCGUAACUCCCUCAAGACGGGGUGUUACUCAUAUUAUUCAGCGGGCACAGACUAUCAUCUCCUGCUACCUGAUUACUAUCUUUAAGUUGUUUACCUAAAGCACUCUAUUUGAUUCUAAGUCGUACCCUAUGCGUGCACUACCCGUCCCUUGCCUAUGGCCCAGGAGGCGUUUGGACCUCUAUUUUGGAUAGUUCUAGACUUAACUUAGGUUGCUCAAAAUGAUAAAACUAAGCGACAUACAAAACAAGUUGGACCUUCAUGUAAAAGCAAAUAAGGGCUCAAGUUACCCUCCACACUUAGGCAGCAAAUGCACGCAAACAAAUUAGGCGUUUUGACAGUUUCAACAAUUAAAGUUGUUAGGUCCUAUAGACAUGAUUUCUAUGUGAUUCUGGAUUUUAAUCAUGCGAGCAGUUAUGCAAAGUAUAAUUCCUGCGUGACUGCACAAUCGCCUACUGAUUAUGAGUAUAAGCGGUUAAAACGUAUAGACAUGCUAUCUAGGUAAUUUACGCAGUAUUUAGCAGUAAUAAACACGAGAUAUAUUCAGAAUUACUCUGUUUGUCCCUAUAGGCAUGCUUUCUACUGGUGUUCAUCGAGACAGUGUUUUUUAAAAGUCUACUUUUAGCACUUAGUGCAGAUAGGGAUUACCCUAUAGACAUGAUACGUACCUUUGAUGACUGAAACUGGUUUUAGUUCCUAUGAGCAUGUAUACUAAAUGGGCAAGUAUGAUAAUAGCAUAUCAAUCAAUUAAGAACCCUAUAGGCAUGAUUUCUAAAAAAAUGCAGAUUUGUAGAGCAUAAAUAUCCCUAUGAUCAUGAUGCCUAAUGAAUAUGCUGCAAUGCAAAUUGAACUUUGGUUACUUUAUUUCCUAUAGGCAUGGUAUCUAACAUAUAGAGGCAAAAUAGAUUAGACGGAUUAAACACCUAUAGGCAGGUUAUCUACCACACACAGUAACAGAACAUAUUCGAGUAAAGUAAACACCUAUAGGCAGGUUAUCAACACACAAUAGCAGAACGUAUUUGAAUAAAGUAAACACCUAUAGGCAGGUUAUCUAAUACAUAAUAGCAGAACGAGCAAUGUAAACACCUAUAGGCAGGAUUUCUACCCAUUCUUAUGCAAAAUGUUAAAAUAAACCCUGUUUCCCAAUUUACUAACAUCCCAAUUAUUAUUACAAAUAACUAUUACAGACCAUAUUUUAAUGAAUAGAUUACAAAGUAUAUAAAACUAUAGGAAGCCUGCAGCAGGCCCAAAUGCACCUGGACAGGCCAGGCCUUCAACUCAUAGUGGCUCCAAAAGCCUAUGUUUAUAGAUACACCAUAACCAUCAGUGAAUGAUUCACCUAUAUCUCAAGGAUAAGCAUACAGAACCAAAUCUCUAGUGUUUCAGAGUUUCCAAGGGCUUCAAGAACCCAGGGCAGGGCUCACACUAGAGAAGAAUGAUCAGAAUAGUUCAAAGAAGACUAGGGACCAAAUCCUAGUGUGUCAGAGUUCACGAGGGUCUCAUAUGUACCCUGAGCAGUGUUCUCACACUAGGGAGGCCAAGGGACAUAACCUAAAUUGCUUUAGCUUUCAGCCAGCAAAGAGUGAGAAUUCAGGAGAGUAAGAUGGGAUUAGGGGGUACAGAAUCACACAUAGAACACAAACAAAUAGCAACACAUUUGAACCUAGGCAGACUUAAUUCAGUUUUUAGAAGUUAACACAGUCACAUGCUAAUAAGAACAGUUCAUAAACAUGUUCACAGUGAUAACAAAGACUGCAGAUCAGACUAAGUCACAGAAAGAAAGCUCAAUAAUUAACAGUAGGCCAGGAACACACUAAUUAGUAUUAGGAACUGAUUAAACAAUUUAGCAUAGGUAUCAUAACAUAGUGAGCACAGAACCAAACGAAUCACAUGGUAACAGGUUCAACAAAUAAACUGAUGAAUCUAUUAAAGCACACAUAAUUAACCAGUCCUUAAGAAAAGGUAUCAAAACAUUUUUUACCCUAAAAGACAACCCUAAAUAACACAGAGGUAGGCAGAUUUCACUAAUCGAUUCAACUAAGUUCAACGCGACUAUAAGUAAUAGCAAUUAGGGUAACAUGGUUUAAUGGCAGCAACACAUUAAACAAGUAAUCAUAAUGGAAUAGCAAAGGAUUCAAUAACUCACCAGUUAAGGUGAAACAGGGAAAAAGGAAUCCAACAAUGUAGCAAUUGUCUCUAACAGAAGCAGAACAAUUGAGGAUUUCUGGUCUUGGCUUCCAGCCGGCCAGGAAUCAAAAGCACAGAAUAAUAUUGUCACGACCCAGUUUCACCUGUAGGUCAUGAUGGCGCC